CAACAACAGCAGCAGCAGCAACAACAGCAGCAGCAGUCGAGAGGCGCUGUUCCACGUGUCCACACACGUGACACACGGACAUCAACGCUUCGCUCAGCGCGUCUGUGUGAACUCCCCAGAAGUUGGGAACGACGUUGAGCCAAGACUCGGUGUUUGCGCCCCUGCACUGCCGACCGUCGCUCGGGCAGGAAGAAGCUCAACCGGAGAAGCUUCGAUGGAGAGAGGGGCAAGCGGAGAGCCAGGGGGGAGUAGAGGUCAAGGCAGAGAGGGGCCUCGACAUUUGCAAGAAGGGAGAGACAAGGGACCGCGCGACGCGCCGGGGGCAGAGCGUGCGGUGCGCGCCGAUGGCGGGAGAGAUCAGCAGAGGCAGGACGCGGAGAGGGCCAGGUGGGACAGAGAGGGGGCAAGAUGCAGAACCAUGAGAGUGGUGGGUCAGGCAGUAGAUCGGGACAGAUUUGAAAGGGGGAGACAGGCCGUGGUGGCUAGAGAGAGAGACGUCGA